rnacentral:rRNA from 1 species
UUUUGGCCAAUGGGCGAAAGCCUGAUCCAGCCAUUCGCCGUGAGUGAAGAAGGCCUUCGGGUGGUAAAGCUCUUUGGCAAGGGAAGAAACGAUGCAGUCGAAUAAACUGUGUUAAUGACGGUACCUUGAUAAGAAGCACCGGCUAACUACGUGCCAGCAGCCGCGGUAAUACGUAGGGUGCAAGCGUUAAUCGGAAUUACUGGGCGUAAAGCGUGCGCAGGCGGUUUUGUAAGUCAGAUGUGAAAUCCCCGAGCUCAACUUGGGAACUGCGUUUGAAACUAUAAGACUAGAAUAUGUCAGAGGGGGGUAGAAUUCCCCGUGUAGCAGUGAAAUGCGUAGAGAUGGGAGGAAUACCAAGGCGAAGGCAGCCCCCUGGGCAUAAUAUUGACGCUCAUGCACGAAA